UAUCCAAGCCAGACUGACAGCCCCACAGGAGCAGCAGCGAUGGCAACAGGUCGUCCUUGACAAGAAAUGCCUCGAGAAUGCCCUCUACAACUUAGCAGCUCCUCCCCCGUCCCUUGCUAAAGAGGAUUGUCAGGUCGCAACGCAAGCACAUUCAGGUUUCAGAGAAAUCCUCUGGCUCCUCAGCAGCUGCUCACUGAUCUGGGCCACCUCCUUUACUCAGCUCCGAAGUGGAAACUUGGGGUGCUUCUGAUGCACAACAAUAGGAUUUAAGCACCAAGACCCAUUCUGACGUGGAGGUGCCUGAUGAGGAAGCUGACUGGGAGGUGCCUGUGGAAGAAGGGAGAAAGGCUUCCCCUCUGGGCAGGGGCAAACUGGACAAUAGCCGGCCUCUGGGACUCCAGAAAUGCAUCCACAGCCCAGGCCUGGUCGUUGAGGGAGAGAUUCCUGCACCAACCACCCAGCCCACCAGGAAUUCUUGUCACCCGUGUGGGUGCAGCUCAUUCAAAUAUGUCUACGAAAUGCUUUCAGAACUGCCGGCUCAUUGGAGUAACAUGAUGGUGCCUGCUCUGGGCCUGGCACGGCCUUCACCGUUCGCCACCACCUUGAGCCUUGUGAUGCUGCUGCAAUGCUGAAUAUUUCACAAUGGAAGAAACUGAGUCUUCAAAUAAGACUGUGAGCUCUACAAGAGCAAGCACUCUUACGUUCAGACUCAAUCCACUUUUGCUGAAAGACAGCGUGACAUUCCCUGGUGUCUAGGUGGCAGUGCCGUGAGCUGCAGACUCCUGGUGGAUGGAAUGAACAAGCUCUAAGGGCUUCUUGUGCACCCAUCAAGAUGCAACUCAAGCAGGAGCCACAAACGUGGUAGAAGCAUUCUAGCCUCAAGGAGCUUUCCAUCUAGCGGGCAAUGAGACAUAUAAGGAGAUUUAAGACCAAUAAAACUGGAUGCGAAUAGCCAAGUGUCACUACAUUGCCCUCACUCAGGAUUUGGAGAGGGAAG